rnacentral:rRNA from 1 species
UGGGGAAUAUUGGACAAUGGGCGCAAGCCUGAUCCAGCAAUGCCGCGUGUGUGAAGAAGGCCUGCGGGUUGUAAAGCACUUUAAGCAGGGAGGAAGGCUCUAAGGCGAAUACCCUUGGAGAUUGACGUUACCUGCAGAAUAAGCACCGGCUAACUCCGUGCCAGCAGCCGCGGUAAUACGGAGGGUGCGAGCGUUAAUCGGAAUUACUGGGCGUAAAGCGUGCGCAGGCGGUUUUGUAAGUCAGAUGUGAAAUCCCCGAGCUCAACUUGGGAACUGCGUUUGAAACUAUAAGACUAGAAUAUGUCAGAGGGGGGUAGAAUUCCUGGUGUAGGGGUGAAAUCUGUAGAGAUCAGGAAGAAUACCAGUGGCGAAGGCGAGCUCCUGGCCAAUGAUUGACGCUGAGGUGCGAAAGUGUGGGGAUCAAACAGG